GGCUGGUCCAAAGGUGGUGCAUUAUCUUGAUUGGAGAUUCACAGAGCAGGUCAAACUCCUUGUUCCACUCUUUCCCCCUUCUCAUGACUGCACUUGACAAGUCUUAA
rnacentral:Y_RNA from 1 species